AUCCAGCUGACGAGUCUUAAAUAGGACGAAACGCGCGUCCUGAAU
rnacentral:hammerhead_ribozyme from 1 species